AUACGGUUACCCCCUUUGCCUAGAAUUAUCACACCUAAAGGGAUGAAAUCCCUAAAGCUCUCCCAAUGGGCACGAUUCAGCCUCCAAGUGAGGUGGUGGAGGUUCGCGACGGCUUAUGGUGGCUCGGAGGUCUGUUGGUGGCGACGGAAAUUUCAAGGGAGUUCACGGUCUCCUCUCUCUCUUUUGAAGUUGCAGUGAUUCGGUUCUUCUCUCGGAUGGCUUGCGGUGGUUCUGUUGGCGGGGAUAUAAUCACGAUUGGGGUCAUCUCCUCCUCUUUUCCUCCUUUUGGUGGUGACAGAGGUUCAGGUCGCGGUGGUUUAAUGGAUUCAGGAUGGAAGAAUGGUAUCUCUUGAGGUAGGGGUUUACGGUGGUUCGGUAAUCCAUUCUCGCAGUGGCUUAAGGUGGUUCCGAAUCGGUAAUUUAUUAUUGCGGUGGCUCACGGUGGCUCCGAGUCGAAGGUGAACUCACCUUCUUCUUUACUUUUUAUUUUUUAUCCAGUCUAUUCGUCUCUUUCCUUUCGUUUUUACUUUUCGUUUUAUGAAUCGAUGGCUUUGGCAUCUGUUAUUGCUUCCUUCUUUUCGAAUAGAUGAUUUUCUAAUUAUGCUCAUAUGCAGGGUGAAACAUUAUUUAAGAUGUUUAUCGAACCAGGAUAGUGGCCCUUGUUCUUGCGCUGGUAAUGACGGAAAUGUCGUUGGCCCGUGAGUAAUUGCUCUUGGGCUGUCCGGCAGUAGUGAGUAUUAGCUUCGCUAAGGACUUUUCACACAAAGUGAUAUCAACACGAGUUGGUAUUUUUUACUUUAACAACUGUCCAAUGCUCCAAAAUAUGUGUGUUAGAUGUAUGUAUCUUAUUUGAUAUAUAGGUUAUCCUAAGGGUAUUCUACUUGUAAUUAUGUAAUGAAAAUGAUAGUUGUCUUACCUGAAUGUGUUCCUAUCUACACAUUGCUUUUACUGACUCCCUGCUGAGUUCCUGCUUUUUGUUCUCCGGUUCCUGCCUUUUGUUCUAUGGUUCCUUCCUUUUGUUCUAUGGUUCCUGCCUUCAUGAUAUGAGAAUAUAAGGAUUUUAGACUUUUUGUUAGGCAUAAUGACAUGAUUGUUUAACAAAUAAUAUUAAGGACUUAAGAUUAAUUAAAACAAAUAGUUAAGAUCUGCUCAAUCUUUCUUAUUUUUGUGCUCUCUUUUUUCACGGAGUGCCCAGGUUUUUUUGACAAUCUGUAUGUUAUUAUCUCUUUUCUGAAACUUCUCUCCUUUUGUGUGUAUCUCUUAUAUCUCUUUUUCUUUGUACUUAUGCUGCUAUAUGACCAGUUUUUUGCUCUGUUUUCGAUUGUCCUCCCCUUUUCUUUUGACUGAGUGCCCCCUUUAUAAUGCUUGUGAAAGAUCUUUUGGUUUUCCCAAAUAAUAACCAGAAACGUACACAACCCUUUUACUUUCUGAUUAUUCCCUCUAUUGGCGGGGAUAUAAUCACGAUUGGGGUCAUCUCCUCCUCUUUUCCUCCUUUCGGUGGUGACAGAGGUUCGGGUCGCGGUGGUUUAAUGGAUUCAGGAUGGAAGAAUGGUAUCUCUUGAGGUAGGGGUUUACGGUGGUUCGGUAAUCCAUUCUCGCAGUGGCUUAAGGUGGUUCCGAAUCGGUAAUUUAUUAUUGCGGUGGCUCACGGUGGCUCCGAGUCGAAGGUGAACUCACCUUCUUCUUUACUUUUUAUUUUUUAUCCAGUCUAUUCGUCUCUUUCCUUUCGUUUUUACUUUUCGUUUUAUGAAUCGAUGGCUUUGGCAUCUGUUAUUGCUUCCUUCUUUUCGAAUAGAUGAUUUUCUAAUUAUGCUCAUAUGCAGGGUGAAACAUUAUUUAAGAUGUUUAUCGAACCAGGAUAGUGGCCCUUGUUCUUGCGCUGGUAAUGACGGAAAUGUCGUUGGCCCGUGAGUAAUUGCUCUUGGGCUGUCCGGCAGUAGUGAGUAUUAGCUUCGCUAAGGACUUUUCACACAAAGUGAUAUCAACACGAGUUGGUAUUUUUUACUUUAACAACUGUCCAAUGCUCCAAAAUAUGUGUGUUAGAUGUAUGUAUCUUAUUUGAUAUAUAGGUUAUCCUAAGGGUAUUCUACUUGUAAUUAUGUAAUGAAAAUGAUAGUUGUCUUA
rnacentral:lncRNA from 1 species